CCUGUCCCUAGAAGUAUUGCAGGUAUGGCUUCUGUGUCAUACGUGCAUCCAUAGGUGGCAGAGAGGAGAGAGGCUAUAUCAAAGCUUAGUGUUCUGACCUAUAAAGAUAGGAAUGUUUAGUAGCCUCACAUC